GGGAAAUACACAAUCGCUCAUUUCAAAUAAACUGUAUUCUCAGAUCCCUGAGAAUGUACAUAAAAGUGCAGUAUACCUUAACGUCCAAGAUAUAAUACUAUACAACCAUCAUUGAAACUCCUAAAUGCGCACUUUCCAAGGUUUUUAUAAACUGUGAGCUUACCGAAGGUCAACAAUAUCAAACUUCAUGUUUGCAUUCAUGUAGACAUGAGAACAGUGUUCAUAUAUUGGACUUCCAUCCUCGGGCUCCUCGUGAGGAUGAAAACCACGUUGUUGACAUUUCCGAAUAACAGAUACACCAGCAGGAUCAGACAAGUGGAAUAUGCCAUGAGGGCUGGCUGUGUCUGUAGGAGCCAUCACAAUUGCAAUUGCUUCCGGCAACAUAAUCUGAUAAGAAUAAUGAGUAUGCAGAUCAACUGAUGACAUAAAACAUGUUUGUGAUGGAUGUGUAUGGAUCCAACCAAGAGGAAAGAGAGAGCGCUUGUCUUGAACAUCAAAAAUCUCCUCUUCAUUUAAUGUCUGGCAUGAAUCUGAAGUUGACUCCUGCUUUGGAACUAUAAGAGUAGUGAUGUGAAAAACACGGUUUUUCAGUGAACCAGCAAGAACUCCACAAGUUUCUAAAUUCUUUUUUGUAUUUUCUCGAGCUAACCUCAAGAAAUCUUCCAUCAGUCUCACUGGAACAUGCAAAUGUUGAAAAGAAUUUGAACUAGACGGUACAUCCUGAAUGCACUUAGCGGGCCCAGGUCUUGGAUCUGCAACUUUGGACGGAGAUAUAGGACGAAACUCCUGUUGUAGUUGUGCCAAAACUGGAGGAGGCGAAGGUUGCCUUAAGUUACUCAAAGGAAUGUUAUCACUCCGCACAUCGUCAAGAAAUUGAAAAUUGGAAUCCUCAGUAGGAUGUAACCAUCGCCCAUCAUCCAAAGAAAGAACCGAUUCCAUAGAAGACUUAUCCACUAUCAAGCUAGUGUCCUUGGACACCAAAGGUCUAUCUUCAACUGGAUUAAGGCUCCAAAUCUCAUUUGGAGCUAGAUCAUCAUGUACUGGGUAAUUAACCUUUAUCUCAGAACUAGGUCCUGGCCAUUGACCACGAAGACCAUUGGGGCCAAAAAAAGAGUGCCUUGAUAACGUUUCUUGCUUUGGAACAGAAAAAUUGAAAGAUAGCUUCUGGAAUUGCUUGUCAAAUGAACUUGGGGAUGAAAUAUGAGAAUAUUCAUUGUUCUGUUUCCAUGUAGAUGAAGGUGCAUUUGUUAUGGCCCAUUGAUUAUCAUAAUAUGAAGAUGCUUUAUUGCUGGUAGAAGGUUGUCCAAAAGAAUUCCCAACUGGUCUAUAUCGAUGGUUCUCCAAAUUAUUGACUUGGUAAGGCUGAGCUGUUACUUGAACUUCACCGAUUGCUUGAAACUGGCGCUGGAAUUCAGGUUUUAAACCCUCUAGUUCAUCUAGCACAGUUAACAGCAUCUUUUUGGAUAAUGCUCUUUCUUUAGGAUGCAAAGCCUGGUAAUCUCGAUGAGAGGGUAUUGUUUCAGUAACCAAACUUGAAUAUCUCAGAAGUAUUAUAUACAAGUCUAUGAUAUUCUUCUCUCCACGAUGAAUACUAGCCUGUCGGAGGAGAUUAUUGGCGAUCCUGUAGUAAUUGCGAAGAGGAAUUCGAUUGUCGACGUCGACUUUCCGCGCCAUGGCGUCGAUAUUCAUGGUCGCUGGCCGCCUCAUUGCCCCGGGGAGAGAUUUUCCGGCGAUUUAAGGAAGAAUAGGAGUAUAGAUUAGGCUCAAGUGUUGAGAAGGAAACAAUUGAAAUAAGAGAGUAGUUUGCUGCUUCUUU
rnacentral:misc_RNA from 1 species